AGUCAACAUGCCCAGAGGACGUGGAUAACCUCGGGAAACUGAGGAUAAACCGCGAUAGGUCAUAAUAUCUGGAAUGAUUUAUGGUUUAAAUCUAUAUGGCCUCUGGAUUGGACUGCGGCCGAUCAGGCUGUUGGUGAGGUAAUGGCCCACCAAACCUAAAACCGGUACGGGCUCUGAGAGGAGAAGCUCGGAGAUGGGCACUGAGACAAGGGCCCAGGCCCUAUGGGGCGCAGCAGGCGCGAAAACUCUGCAAUAAGCGAAAGCUUGACAGGGUUAUUCUGAGUGAUUUCCGCUAAGGAAAUCUUUUGGCACCUCUAAAAAUGGUGCAGAAUAAGGGGUGGGCAAGCCUGGUGUCAGCCGCCGCGGUAAUACCAGCACCCCGAGUGGUCGGGACGAUUAUUGGGCCUAAAGCAUCCGUAGCCGGUUCUACAAGUCUUCCGUUAAAUCCACCUGCUUAACAGAUGGGCUGCGGAGGAUACUAUGGAGCUAGGAGGCGGGAGAGGCAAGCGGUACUUAGUGGGUAGGGGUAAAAUCCGUUGAUCCAUUGAAGACCACCAGUGGCGAAGGCGGCUUGCCAGAACGCACUCGACGGUGAGGGAUGAAAGCUGGGGGAGCAAACCGG
rnacentral:rRNA from 1 species